GACGAACGCUGGCGGCGUGCUUAACACAUGCAAGUCGAGCGGAGCGGCGAACUGGUGAGUAACGCGUGAGUAACUACCCCCCUCUCUGGGAUAACAAUUGGAAACGGCUGCUAAUACCGGAUAGUGGGGGAUGACUCGCGUCCUAUCCGCUUGGUGGUGGGGUAGGGGCCUACAAAGGCGAUGACCGGUGGCCGGCCUGAGAGGGCGACCGGCCACAUUGGGCUGAGAGACGGCACAAGCCCGUACGGGAGGAAGCAGUGGGGAAUAAUGCACAAUGGGGGAAAGCGUGAUGCAGCAACGCCGCGUGCGGGAUGACGUCCUUCGGGUUGUAAACCGCUUUCAGCCAUGACGCGGAAGUGGAAGAAGAAGCACCGGCUAACUACGUGCCAGCAGCCGCGGUAAUAG
rnacentral:rRNA from 1 species